AAACAUGAGUGUAAACAUAUAGUAACAUUGCACAAAUACUGGAUACAUUGAUAAUGUUAUACCUUUAUUAUGCAUCUCAUGAUUAUGUGUUUUUUAUUUAUAUUCUGAAUAUUAUGAUCGAAUUCAUUAGGCGAUGACAAACUAUGAAAUGAAGAAGUCAAAACGACUAAAAAGUAAGUGUAAAUUGUACUAAUUAUAUAUCACAUAUAUGUGAAAGAGGCAUACAACCUGAUACAACUGCUUUAUUAUUUUGUAUAAGAAGCAUAACAGUUUGCAACUGACAAUCAGCUGCUGUAUUUGACCAUGAAACACUAGUGUUGUACCUAACGUAGCACCCCGUACUCGACUACGUUCCGAUAACUCAUUAAUGGUUUUGUUAAUGUAUAUAUUCGUGCUUCUGGAUACAAAUUUUCGAUUUACAUAAACAACUGCACAGGCAAUAUGUCAAAUUUAACAACCUUUUUUAUUAUACGAUUUUUUUUUAUCUACGAUAAUUCACUCAUAAGGGGUUGAAUGAUUUUAAGUACUGGGACCGAAUCCUUACCAUGGCAGGCAUAUGGUUAGGAAAUAAUCAUCACUUUUAUUUUCCUUUGAAGAAAAAUGUUAUAGUUUUAUUUACUAGUAGUUAUUCCAUUCUGCUUAUAAAUCUGCAGCACCUUCAAUAACAAAUUACCGAUGUUAAAAUUCUCAAAAAUGUAACAAGUCCCUUUUUAUAACUGUGAAAAAAAGUUAUGUUAUACCUUCAGUCACAGUUUCGAAGAAUACUCAAACUACUAAGUGAAAGACUAAAUCACGGAAGCAAAAUUAGCUGCGGAGAAAGAUACCAUAAAUCUGCCUGCUACUAUAAAUGAACCACCUGCGGUAAGAUUUAUUUCUUCAAAAUAACCUUUAUAUUAUGAAAAGUUCAUGUGGGAAUAUUGAAUAUUUUGGUAGGACUAUAACAGCUUGUCUUAAAUUUUACGAUUAAUAGUAUUAACAAGCAGAUCAGAAAAAUGUAUUAGAUUUCUUUUUACUUACUUUUUUGGGCAUUUUUACUUUUUUUUUAAUUUGAGCGUUACCAACGUACAUUACGUAACUGAUACGUAUUUUAUUGUCAAUGGUCUGAAACACAACAUGUGAACCCUGGUGUACAUGUAGAUGACGUGGUUGAUAUAUUUUGAGUUCUCACACUUAAUUAAGUUAUGUGUAUAUUAAUACUAUCCUCGACAGGUUAACAAAGUUAUCAAGUUCCAUCUAUUACAGCUUAGUCAUGAUACUAUUACAAUAUUUUUUAAUAAAACACACAUUGAAUUGAACUUAGAUUGCAUUACAAAAAGGGUAGCUAGCUUUACAGCACAACUAAAUGUUUAUCAUUAAACGAACAUGUAAUAUGCUUACUAUCAGAUUUUCCAAACAAUAAGAGUGUUAAGAUGUGACAUGGUAGUAAAGGCAAUAACUCUCCAUUAAAAACCAAAUGAGGUAAAAUAUUAGCAAAUAUAAGCCUUCAAAAACUCUGACAUCAUUUUAUAAUAAAAAAACUAUAUUGCAUGAAGUUUUCAUUUGAUUGGUAUGGAACUACAUACUCUAAUGAUAGUCAGUUUCUGUCAUUAAUAAAAUGUUUUGUAUUUCUUUUCAGAAACAGGGAGCAGGGCCAACCAGAGGAUAAUAGAACAAAUUAUUUAAAAAAAAUCAAAUUCUUAUAAAUAAAAUCACUCUUCUGCUUUGUUAUAUCAAUGAUUAUAUAUGUAUAUAUUAUUGAUAUGCCUUGUCCUGUUGACCCGUAUAUAUUUGACGACCGUGUUAGAUCAUCGUUGGUAGUCAAGGUCGUGGGACACCCCC
rnacentral:lncRNA from 1 species